ACAUCAGUAGGAGGGGAAGGAGGAAGGAAGGAGAAGAAAGAGGAAGAAUAGGAGGAGAAGAGGAAGAGAGGAAGAAGUCGUGAACAGCCCUCCUGCAUUUUGCAUCAGGUAGAAAAGUCAGUUGAAUGUUGGGAAGAACACAAAUAAAAAUGCAAGAGAACAGCUAUCUUCACAGAUCCCGGAACAAAGGACAAAGGAUAGAACUAAAAGCUCCCCCCACCCGCCGCCCGGCACCAAAGGAGUCAUAUCUGAUUACUUCCUUUGGAAAGGCUAAUCAGAAACUGAAAAGAAUGUAACUGUUUGUGUCUCACCUAUCUGUGACCUGGAAGCUCCCUCCCAGCUUUGAGUCUUCCUGCCUUUGCUUCCAGUUGUUCUGCCUUUCCAGACCCAACCAAUGUACUUCUUAUAUCUAUUGAUUGAUGUCUCAUGUCUCCCUAAAUGUAAAAAUCAAGCUGUGCCCCAACUGCCUUGGGCACAUGCUAUCAGGACCUCCUGAGGCUGUCAUGGAUGCGUCCUCAACCUUGGCAAAAUAAACUUUCUAAAUUAACUGAGA